rnacentral:lncRNA from 1 species
CCCUAAAUAUAAUGCUCCCCCUGACUUGUAGCUGAUUGUCCUCAUGAAGCUCCCCUUGACUUGUAGUAGACUUCACUUGUUGUCGCCAUAAUAUCUAACAGACUUAGGGAAAAAUGUUCUCUCCACCCUUUGGCAUAAUCAAAUUGAUAGACAAGAAAACAAACACGAAUGCACAUAAUAAAAUAAAGUCCAUCAUAAUACGAGCAGAUAAUGCACAAAACAAAGAAGUGUGAAGUGAAUAUCCA